rnacentral:rRNA from 1 species
AACGUAGGACGCGAGCGUUAUCCGGAGUUACUGGGCGUAAAGCGCGGGCAGGCGGUCUGACAAGUCUGAUGUGAAAUCUCCGGGCUUAACCGGGAGAGGCCAUUGGAAACUGACAGGCUGGAGGGCAGUAGAGGUAGGCGGAAUUCCGGGUGGAGUGGUGAAAUGCGUAGAGAUCCGGAGGAACACCAGAGGCGAAGGCGGCCUACUGGCUCGCACCUGACGCUGAGCCGCGAAAGCCAGGGGAGCGAACGGG